AUUGAACGCUGGCGGUAUGCUUAACACAUGCAAGUCGAACGAUGAGAAAGAGCUUGCUCUUUCGAUUAGUGGCGGACGGGUGCGUAACGCGUAGGAAUCUACCUAUUAGUGGGGGACAACUUAGGGAAACUUAAGCUAAUACCGCAUACGCCCUACGGGGGAAAGAAGGGGAUCGCAAGACCUUUUGCUAAUAGAUGAGCCUGCGUAGGAUUAGCUAGUUGGUGGGGUAAAAGCUCACCAAGGCGACGAUCCUUAACUGGUUUGAGAGAAUGAUCAGACACCAUGUGACUGAGACACGGUCCAGACUCCGACGGGAGGCAGCAGUGGGGAAGAUUGGACAAUGGGCGAAGGGCCGAUCCAGCAAGACCUCGUGUGUGAAGAAGGCCUUAGGGUUGUAAAGCACUUUCAAUUGGGAGGAAAACCUCGAAGCUAAUACCUUCGAGUUUGACAUUACCUUUAGAAGAAGCACCGGCUAACUCCGUGCAGCCGCCGCAGUAA
rnacentral:rRNA from 1 species